GUUUAUUGAGGCUUUUGUGACUGAUACAAAGAUACGUGUUAGGCCUACUCCAGUUUGAGCCUCUUGGCUUUGUCUGUGGUAGUGAUGCAUUUGAGAGCAUUUUCACCAGUGGGUGAAUCAUGGUGGCUACAUGAUGUCUAUGAUCUUUCACAGAAUGAUAAAGUUCUCCAUACUUCUAUGGGAUACACUUUUAAUACCUAAUCCUGUCACUGAACAAUUGUGAGAUCUUCCACAAAGUUUGUUUUUAAGCAUUAUACAAUUUUCCAGUAUAUUUGUAGCAAAUCCCUCAACUUUUUUAUUAUUAUUAAAUUGUCAUCGGACAAAUGACUAAAUGUCUUUUUCAGGGAAUCAGAAAAUAUCUUUUAUUUUUUAAUUUUUUUUUCUUUUAAGUCUCGUCAAACAACCUUAAAACACCAAAAAACUAUUUUUUCUACCAAAGAAGUCGAUUUUGCUUUUAUCUAAAACAAAGGGUUAGGGCAGAAUUAGGGUCAGGGUUACCACCUAUCAUGACUUGGACCUCAGCGUUAAAAGCCUCAUGCUGGUAGGAGUUUACCCCUAAUGAGUAACAAGUGAGCUGUCAACCAUUUGGUCAAACAUUUUAGUGGCUAAUGUCAUCUGGAGCCUCAAGAGAUACGAGUUUGUCAAAUUAUUUUCUCUCAGAUAUCAUAAAGAUUCCAUUUUCUAUUUUCAAACAUAAAGUAUUUACACCUAAAUGACACUGAUACAAGAAACAUCCCUUAAGGCAGUUUAUUAGAAUUUAUAUAGCUACCCCACAAAAGACUUCAUACAACAGUUAGUUGUAUAUUUCUGAAAACCCGUAAACAGAUUUGAUGUGUAAAACUGAUGAAAGUUUUGAUGUAUUUGCAGUGUGUUUGUAUUUCUUCUGAUUAGUAGCUCAAUAAAAGCAGUGAUGUUAAUUUGAUAUUUUAUUCUGCAGCGUUACAACCACCAUGUUGCUCCUAAAGGCAAGCCCAUGCUCACUCUGUGCUUAUGCACUAUUAAUAUAUGAAAUAAACAUAAAACACAUUCGAGCUUUGAGAUUCUUUUUCCUUAGUAAUGCUUCUCUGUCGUUGUUGCUAACCAUGUAUUGGAGCUGUCAGACUUAUUUUAUAUUUUCCUCUGUGGUCGCUCAGUAUUUAUAUCCUCAGUAUUUUUAUCCUUUCUGCAUACUGUUGCAUUCAGUAUUAUAUAUUUGUAGUCAGUUUCCUGGCUUUUACAAGCACAAACAUGUUACAUUCUUCUACAACCUUGUUCGUUUUUGUUUUUUGUUUUUUUUAAAUCAUCUUUCUGCCUCUUUCCUUGCUCUUUUCUCCCUCUCUCUCAACCCACCUCCCCCCUCCCGCCCUCGCUCUCUCUCUCUUUCAUUCUUUGGUUAUGAGGCACUGGUCGUUAUUAUAGGACGCUGGCAAGCUUGCCGUCAGUUGCAUUCUGGCGAGAGUCAAGUGCCACAAGGUGCCUUUUUCUAUUUGUUUGUUUCAUGCAACACUGCACCAGCCACUGACCUGUGGUAUCCAUGUCGUGCAAGAGGGAGUCAGGUUCAUCCAAUCAAAAACGGGCUGAAAUUAACACUGAUCUUUCCAUUCCUGAAGAGAGACUGUGGCAAAAGGCAAUUUCAUGACUAUAGGGUGGACUUUUUUUCUAUUUUUUCUUUUUUUUUUUUACUUUUUAUUUGGAUUAUAUAUAUUCUCCUCUUUACAUUUUAAUGUGUUUGUUUACAGCCGGUUUAUGUCAUAAACAACAAACCCAGGGUUUAAACUCAUCAUUGCCGUUGUUAUUAAUUACAGCCUAAAGUGUUCACCCUCAAAACAAUUUUUUUGAGAUUUAAUCUGAAAGUGCGAUAUCACAGAUUUUGUCUCACUCUGAAUUCAAUCUGAUUCCCUGCAAUUCAGGACAUGCAAUAUUCAUAGUUGAUCCAUUGACUGCUAUUCAAGCGGGAACUAUUUGAAGAGGGAAAGUUCAUGUGCAUUUUUGAUGGAUUGUGCAUGUCUUCCCCUACUCUAUAUGGAUAGAGCGCUUGUUUGAAGGUCAGUGAUUCUCUUCAGUCAGAGUCUUCCCUCUACACUCCUUUUUUUGGGGUGGGGGAAGAAUAUCUCAAGUCUUCACUCCAUAUUUUUCAAGUGCUUCUAGGAUGACUAGGUUGGAUGACCUUGGAUCCUGGUGGAGAUGAAUCUCUUUGAGCUUCCCCUCUCUGCUUUUCUUGAAGAACUCUGUCACGAAGAAAGACAAUGACCUUCUGCUGUAAGACUUUUCAUGUAAAAUAUCCACUUUUUUCCAGCUCUCAACCUUUUCAUAUCUUUGAUAGCUCCUGUGUUUCUUGCUGUAUGUGUUGAAAUACAUUUUCCUUUAACAUACAUCAAUAAUAUCAUUCUAGUUACGUGUUCCACUUUUAUCUCAAAUUACGUCUUUUAGU
ensembl:lncRNA